rnacentral:rRNA from 1 species
UGGGGAAUAUUGCGCAAUGGGCGAAAGCCUGACGCAGCGACGCCGCGUGGGGGAUGACGGCCUUCGGGUUGUAAACCUCUUUCGACCGGGACGAAGCGAGAGUGACGGUACCGGUAGAAGAAGCACCGGCCAACUACGUGCCAGCAGCCGCGGUAAUACGUAGGGUGCGAGCGUUGUCCGGAAUUAUUGGGCGUAAAGAGCUCGUAGGCGGUGUGUCACGUCGGUCGUGAAAACUUGGGGCUCAACCCUGAGCGUGCGGUCGAUACGGGCAUCACUUGAGUUCGGCAGGGGAGACUGGAAUUCCUGGUGUAGCGGUGAAAUGCGCAGAUAUCAGGAGGAACACCGGUGGCGAAGGCGGGUCUCUGGGCCGAUACUGACGCUGAGGAGCGAAAGCGUGGGGAGCGAACAGG